GUGUGUUUUUUGUUGUUUUUUUUUUUAAACAUAUAAAAGAACUUAUCAUUACAAGUUUUAUGCCCUGUUAAUCAACAGAGGCUGCAUACAGCUGAACUCAUGCAGUGCUGAAACAAAUCUAUUAUGAGCACUAUAUGACAAAGGAUACCUUGGAGCUGUAAAGUGAAGCAGCUCUUAGUCAUGAUGCUAUUCCAUGUGACAACAUCUGCCUGGGCAGGUUCUUGUACAAGUUCUGAUUCUCAUCUCCACCAUCACAACUACACUGACUGUGUUGCUGUCAUUAACGUAAAAGACUUUCCACACUCUUCUGAAAGAAGGGAAUGGAUGAUCUGCCUAGGACCCAC
rnacentral:lncRNA from 1 species